rnacentral:lncRNA from 1 species
GAGAAGCUAAGCAGUGAGGAGAACAGCAACCCAGACCUCUCUGGAGUUGAGAAUGAUGAUGCCGUCAGUAUAGAAAGUGUUACAAACACUGAAUGCUCUGAUAUACCUACAAACACGCCAAAGACACCUGAAAGGAAAAGUUGAGGAAAGGGAAAAUGGAAGUCAAAGAAAUGCAAAUAUUCUUUCUAAUGUAUAAACAGUCUCGAGGAAGAUCAUAACCAACCAUUGUUUGGAGUUCAGUUUAACUGGCACAGUAAAAAAGGAGAUCCAUUAGUGUUUGCAACUGUAGGAAGCAACAGAGUUAGCUUGUAUGAAUGUCAUUCACAGGGAGAAAUCCGGUUGCUGCAAUCUUACAUGGAUUC